rnacentral:rRNA from 1 species
UACGGGGGGAGCAAGCGUUGUUCGGAUUUACUGGGCGUAAAGGGCGCGUAGGCGGUAGCACAAGUCAGUUAUGAAAUCUCCGGGCUUAACUCGGAAAGGUCAACUGAUACUGUGCGACUAGAGUGCAGAAGGGGCAACUGGAAUUCUCGGUGUAGCGGUGAAAUGCGUAGAUAUCGAGAGGAACACCUGCGGCGAAGGCGGGUUGCUGGGCUGACACUGACGCUGAGGCGCGAAAGCCAGGGGAGCGAACGGG